rnacentral:lncRNA from 1 species
AAUAUAUAAACGAAUGCAUGUAACAAUUAUUUAGAAUAGUAUUAAUACAGUCCGAAAGGGACACAGUCUAUGGUUUAGAAGCAGAGCAAGAGAGAAAUUCUUAAGUAUUGGAAAAUUAAUUAAUUAAUUUAUUCAGUUAUAGGAAAUAAAUCCCAGAGGCUAACAUACAUGUCAUGUAUUUUUUUUCUGGAAAUUUUUCUUUCCAAAUGUAUUCUUCCGUUACUAAGCCUGACGGCAUCUCCUCUCGCGACCAUUUGAUGGAUUCUGAUUGGCUAAUUGAAGGCGGUUUAGCCAAUAGAAACGCGAGGGACACUUGUAGGCUGGACCGCAAGCUCUUGGCUUCGCGGGCGCGUUGCUGAAGAGACACGGGCGAGGUCGCGAGUUCAUCCGAUUAAUUAAAGUGAAAGACACUGGUCGUCUUUAAUUUAUUUGCACAGUAAAUCAGCUGAUUAAUUAGAUAAAUCGUGAAAAGUAUAUAUUUAUAAUUUGUAUAAUUUGAGAGGCCCUCUGCCAGCUACGUUCAUUGUCAAUGGAGGUCAAUAAUGCAGCGAAAAGCAAAAUCAGUGUGAAUACAAAUGGAGCAAGAGCAGUCUUUGAUCGAUUUCAUAAUUCAGGACCAGACUCCUACUUCUCCACAAACAAGCCUCAGAAUAGCUUCAAAGACAGCGGAUUCUUGUCAUACAACACAUUCUCGGACUGUCCGGUGCAAAACUGUGCACCACUGCCUUACACAGUUUGGCCAACNNNNNNNNNNNNNNNNNNNNNNNNNNNNNNNNNNNNNNNNNNNNNNNNNNNNNNNNNNNNNNNNNNNNNNNNNNNNNNNNNNNNNNNNNNNNNNNNNNNNGUGACUAAUUUCAGGAGUCACACAGAAAGGCUCUUGUAGUCUCAAGUAGGAGGUUCGGAUUUUCAGUGUCAGGAGUCGCUGCUGUUCUUUGAUUGAUGUAGAUAGACACAACAAAGACACUAUUUCAUGAAGUCCUGCCAAAGUCACCCUAGACAGACGAAAAUGCGGCUGAGCACAAGAGAACCCCUGUGCAUGUGCGGUUGAAGUAAAUGCAUCCCCUAAAGGCAGCAUUUGAAACGAGCGUGCAAGAAUACAAACAGAUGAUGCAGAGAUUCAAAGAGUCUCUGUGUCUUUUGCCCCGGACAACAGACCCUUUUUAUCAGUGGCACAAAAUGACAAGCUUGAAUAUGUGAAUAGCUAGUCUAUUUGAAGUGUGUGCAUGUGAAUACUGUAAUUGGGGACCACUGGAAGGAAUUAGAGGAGUCAUAUUCCUGAGUGCACAGGUAUGACUGGAGCUCCCUAACCUGUAACCUCAGAGACAAUCCAUCUCUCUCUAUCUUGGAAAGCAUGGCAGGCAGAUCACAGGUAGGAAUGGAGGAUUCUUUGCAUUGCAACUCAGGGCUGUGGCCUGUUUGGGCUUGAGCUGGAAGACCUGCAGCUGUCACACAUCUGCCUUGGAGCAAUGCUGAUCGGAGACAGCGCUAUCAAGAGCCACUAGCAGUGUUUUUUUUUUCUGUUUACAGCUACGCAAUGAAAAUCAGAUGAGAUAAAAUACGAAUGCAGUGACUAUAAAUCACAGAACUGCACAUAGAAACAAACAAUGAGAUCAGAGUCAGACCUUAAAGACAUUUUUUAAUGAAUCAAUCACAAACUUCCAAGUUAUUUGUCUGAAUUAGUCUGAUGAAUAAACCUCAAAUCGCCAGUAUUUUUCUUUGUGUUCCACUUGCAAUAAACCAAAAAAUAUUACUAUAUAAAUUUGCACUUUUUAAUUUGGUAAUCAAUCAAUCUUUGAUAUAAAAAACUGAAUUCUGGAAUAAAAAAUUUGCCUUGAUACAUAGAUAUCUAUUAAGCAUUCAUGAAACCUUUGUACAUAUACAGUAAUACAAUCUAUUUGUGUACCAUAACUAUCUAUUAGUUCAACCAAUAAUUACUCCAAAAGGGAUUAUUUAAGAUGUGAAUAACGUUAAAGAAAAAUCUAAAUACCUCGAAGAUGCUCAACAAAGCUUUUUAGUCGAACUUUAGUCAAACAUUUCAAACUUGGCUAACUUUUAGUCAAAAGAUUAAAUUUUAAAAAAAGUAUUGUAGAGCCAUUUGAAAGGAAUUUGUCCACAGGUUAAUUCCUUAGUCCUUAUGUAAGUCAGAUAAUAUCUUUGAAGAGUAAGAAAAUAAGAACAUGUAUGUACAGGUAUCAAAUGUGUUUGACUUCAGGCAUCACAAGUUAAGCACUAUUUAAGAGCACCAUAACAAAAGAAACAGACCAGAUAAACCUUUAAUCCUUCAUACAAACACACCAAUCACACAAGGCAAAUCCUUCAGCUUAUGUGUGUGAGCUGAAGAUAUAAAGAGGAAAAGGGCAAAGAGUGCGAAAAUUCGACGGUUUUACAAAUGGUGCCAGAUUCUGCAGACAUUGGAAUUUGACUUUCUCUGAAGUAUCCUUAGGGCAGACAGGACGAUGAUUACUUAAGCUAUUCAUUCAUUUUUUAUCAUAACAAUAUC